rnacentral:rRNA from 1 species
UACGGGGGGGGCAAGCGUUGUUCGGAAUUACUGGGCGUAAAGGGCUCGUAGGCGGCCCUCUCAGUCGGAUGUGAAAUCCCCAGGCUUAACCUGGGAACGGCAUCCGAUACUGGAGGGCUUGAAUUCGGGAGAGGGAUGCAGAAUUCCAGGUGUAGCGGUGAAAUGCGUAGAUAUCUGCAGGAACACCCGUGGCGAAAGCGGCGCGCUGGACCACUACUGACGCUGAGGAACGAAAGCUAGGGGAGCAAACAGG